AAAAGUUGAUUAGAAACUUGGAAAAGUGAGUUUCUAUGAAGGGUAAGAAUAUGAAAAGAAACAAGAAAAAGAAAUCACCCUUGAAACCAUAGAGCAUAAAAAAAAAAAAAAAAAAAAAAAAAAAAAAAAAAAAGUAAAUGCUCAUGGUUGUGGUGGAUUUGAAAAGAAAAAGAAAAAGAAAAAGAUAGGGACCAAGGAAAAGGAAAUUGU
rnacentral:lncRNA from 1 species